UCCAAAUAGCCUCUGCAUCCUCAUAAUGGC
rnacentral:sRNA from 1 species